CUACGGGGUGCUGCAGUGAGGAAUAUUGCGCAAUGGGGGAAACCCUGACGCAGCGACGCCGCGUGGAUGAUGAAGGCCUUAGGGUCGUAAAAUCCUGUCAGGUGGGAAGAAGUGGAUAUAGAUUAAUACUCUAUUUCUUUGACGGUACCACCAAAGGAAGCACCGGCUAACUCCGUGCCAGCAGCCGCGGUAAUACGGAGGGUGCAAACGUUGUUCGGAAUUACUGGGCGUAAAGCGCGCGUAGGCGGUUUGUUAAGUCAGAUGUGAAAGUCCAUGGCUCAACUGUGGAAGUGCAUUUGAAACUGGCAGACUUGAGUACUGGAGGGGGUGAUGGAAUUCCCGGUGUAGAGGUGAAAUUCGUAGAUAUCGGGAGGAACACCGGUGGCGAAGGCGAUCACCUGGCCAGAUACUGACGCUGAGGUGCGAAAGCGUGGGGAGCAAACAGGAUUAGAUACCCCAGUAGUC
rnacentral:rRNA from 1 species